rnacentral:rRNA from 1 species
GACGAACGCUGGCGGCAUGCUUAACACAUGCAAGUCGUACGGUAAGGCCCUUUCGGGGGUACACGAGUGGCGCACGGGUGAGUAACACGUGAGUAACCUGCCCACAACUUUGGGAUAACGCUAGGAAACUGGUGCUAAUACUGGAUAUGUGCUCCUGCUGCAUGGUGGGGGUUGGAAAGCUCCGGCGGUUGUGGAUGGACUCGCGGCCUAUCAGCUUGUUGGUGGGGUAGUGGCCUACCAAGGCGGCGACGGGUAGCCGGCCUGAGAGGGUGACCGGCCACAUUGGGACUGAGAUACGGCCCAGACUCCUACGGGAGGCAGCAGUGGGGAAUAUUGCACAAUGGGCGCAAGCCUGAUGCAGCAACGCCGCGUGCGGGAUGACGGCCUUCGGGUUGUAAACCGCUUUCAGCAGGGACGAAGCUUUUUGUGACGGUACCUGCAGAAGAAGCACCGGCUAACUACGUG